rnacentral:rRNA from 1 species
AGAGUUUGAUCCUGGCUCAGGACGAACGCUGGCGGCGUGCUUUAUACAUGCAAGCCGAACGAUGAAGUUCCUUCGGGAAUGGAUUAGUGGCGAACGGGUGAGGAACACGUGAGAAACCUGCCUUUCAUUCUGGGAUAACACCGGGAAACCGGUGCUAAUACCGGAUACUCCAUCUUGGCGGCAUCGCCGAGCUGGGAAAAAAUUUUGAUGAAAGAUGGUCUCGCGGCUUAUCAGCUAGUUGGUGAGGUAAAGGCUCACCAAGGCGACGACGGGUAGCCGGCCUGAGAGGGCGACCGGCCACACUGGGACUGAGACACGGCCCAGACUCCUACGGGAGGCAGCAGUAGGGAAUAUUGGGCAAUGGGCGAAAGCCUGACCCAGCGACGCCGCGUGAGGGAUGAAGGUCUUCGGAUUGUAAACCUCUUUCAGUAGGGAAGAAGCGAAAGUGACGGUACCUAAAGAAGAAGCACCGGCUAACUAUGUGCCAGCAGCCGCGGUAAUACAUAGGGUGCAAGCGUUGUCCGGAAUUAUUGGGCGUAAAGAGCUCGUAGGUCGUUUGUCGCGUCGAUUGUGAAAAUCUGAGGCUCAACCUCAGACCUGCAGUCGAUACGGGCAAACUAGAGUGUGGUAGGGGAGACUGGAAUUCCUGGUGUAGCGGUGGAAUGCGCAGAUAUCAGGAGGAACACCAAUGGCGAAGGCAGGUCUCUGGGCCAUAACUGACACUGAGGAGCGAAAGUGCGGGGAGCGAACAGGAUUAGAUACCCUGGUAGUCCGCACCGUAAACGGUGGGCACUAGUUGUGGGAACCUUC